GGGGGGAUAAAAGAAAAUGAUAAUUAAACGCGAGUUCUCCAAACGAUUGGUACGAAGGCUUACGGACUACUGAGGGCGGCUGCUUCACGACGCUGGAGUCACGACGGCGGCGGCACGCGCAACUCUCACGUACAGAAUUUUUCUGCUUUAUCUUCUUCGUGCUUCGUAGUGAUUCUAAUAAUGCUAAAAUUCCCGUCGCCCACACGUACUGACAGAUACAACAGAUCUACGAGCAGUGAUGUCAUCAUACACGCUACUACGAAACAGAAUUAUCAAACACUCGCGGCUGCUCAACCCCCCCGCAGUAACAACAAACAUUCCAAAAUAUGCACGAAGCUUGUAUCGUUUCAAAAUUAUUAAUUUAUGAAAGUGCUGAUUAAGGAUGCGGAAUUUGCAAUAUAAACAGAUUUGACAUCGUCUUCAUUCAAGGUGCUCAACGCUCUUCAACAUUCCGAUGUGGUGACGAAUAGUCUGCAAUUUAUCGACUAGUUUUUUUUUAAAACAUGUUGAUAGGUAACAUAAUUACCUGAAUCGCUAACGUAUUAUGCCGAACAUAAUUAAAUAAAAAUC
rnacentral:lncRNA from 1 species